UACGGAGGGGGCUAGCGUUGUUCGGAAUUAUUGGGCGUAAAGGGUGCGUAGGCGGUUCCGCAAGUCCUGUGUGAAAUCUUCGGGCUCAACUCGAAGUCUGCACGGGAAACUGCGGGGCUUGAGUGUGGGAGAGGUGAGUGGAAUUCCCGGUGUAGAGGUGAAAUUCGUAGAUAUCGGGAGGAACACCGGUGGCGAAGGCGGCGAUCUGGGUCGAUACUGACGCUGAGGUGCGAAAGCGUGGGGAGCAAACAGGG
rnacentral:rRNA from 1 species